rnacentral:lncRNA from 1 species
UUUUGAUUGAUUAUGUAAUGCUUUGUUUGGUGCUUGUUGCAUAUUUUCUAUUCAUUGCAUUACAUGAUGAUUUUCGAGUAUGAAAUUUAUUUUUAAAAUUGAUUUGAGGAAAGGUGUAAAAUUUGUCAAAAUAUUUUCAAUUGUGAGAUUGUCUAAUUUAGGGGGAGUUUGAAAUUAUUUAUAAAAAAAAGAGGGAAAAAUGAAACUCCUAUAUUUAAAAGUUGUGGAAAGAGUUACAUCCAAAAGGAGUGUGAAAACUACCACCACAUGUAGGAAAGAGUUACCACCCCGGUCGUCCGGCAAGUGUGUGAAGCUACCACAUAAAGAUUGAAUUGAAUAACCGAAAAGGUGAAAAAAAAAUUGAAUAUUUUAGAAUUUUCAGAGUUGUAAAGUGUUAGUUUGAAAAAGAAGCUCACAGAGCCACCCCCGGUAUCAUAUUAGUUAAAUCUCUAU